rnacentral:rRNA from 1 species
CAGUAGCCGCGGGAAUACGUAGGGUGCAAGCGUUAAUCGGAAUUACUGGGCGUAAAGCGUGCGCAGGCGGUGUUGUAAGACUGAUGUGAAAUCCCCGGGCUCAACCUGGGAACUGCAUUGGUGACUGCAACGCUGGAGUGCGGCAGAGGGGGAUGGAAUUCCGCGUGUAGCAGUGAAAUGCGUAGAUAUGCGGAGGAACACCGAUGGCGAAGGCAAUCCCCUGGGCCUGCACUGACGCUCAUGCACGAAAGCGUGGGGAGCAAACAGGAUUAGAUACCCGCGUAGUCCCUGUCUCUUAUAU